AUGGGGAACUUCAACGAAGCUGGGGUUCGGGCACGUUGCACCGGAGGCCGCACUCCACCUCUUCCUCGUGGUGCGGCGGACGGCAGCUCUUGCAGUCGUGCGGCCGACGGCGGCCUCAGCGGGUGGUCGACGACACUUGCAUCUGGUGCUCUACCCAUGGAUUCCGGCCCAGCCCGAAAUACUCAGGACAAAUUAGGCCUCGGCCAAUGGUGGAGAAGACAGACUACAGGGACAAGCCGCUGGAGCACGUGUUCAUGGGAUGUUCGCGCGCAAGAUGCAGAAGUUCGCCUGAAGGAAGAAGAGUUGGCCGGCGAGGAUGAAGAGAAGGCGGGAUGCGAGGUGCUUGCACACGCAGCAGCAGGAGGCCGUCCGUAA
rnacentral:rRNA from 1 species